rnacentral:rRNA from 1 species
GUGGGGAAUUUUGGACAAUGGGCGAAAGCCUGAUCCAGCAAUGCCGCGUGUGUGAAGAAGGCCUUCGGGUUGUAAAGCACUUUUGGCAGGGAAGAAACAGUGCGUGCUAAUACCAUGCGCGAAUGACGGUACCUGCAGAAUAAGCACCGGCUAACUACGUGCCAGCAGCCGCGGUAAUACGUAGGGUGCAAGCGUUAAUCGGAAUUACUGGGCGUAAAGCGUGCGCAGGCGGCUUUGUAAGACGGAUGUGAAAGCCCCGGGCUCAACCUGGGAAGUGCAUUCGUGACUGCAAGGCUAGAGUGUGUCAGAGGGAGGUGGAAUUCCGCGUGUAGCAGUGAAAUGCGUAGAGAUGCGGAGGAACACCGAUGGCGAAGGCAGCCUCCUGGGAUAACACUGACGCUCAGGCACGAAAGCGUGGGGAGCAAACAGGAUUAGAAACCCCGGGUAGUCC